rnacentral:rRNA from 1 species
CUCUUUUUGAUUAUAAUUUAAAGUAGGGCCUGCCCACUGAAUUUUGAAGGGCCGCAGUAUUUUGACUGUGCAAAGGUAGCAUAAUCAUUAGUUUUUUAAUUGAAAGCUUGUAUGAAUGGUUUGAUGAGAAAAUUUCUGUCUCAAUUUUAAUUUUUUAAAAUUUUAUUUUUAAGUAAAAAAGCUUAGAUUAAUUUAAAAGACGAGAAGACCCUAUAGAGUUUUAUUAAAAAUAUUUUUAUAAAUUUUAGAAUUCAUUUUUUUUAAUAUUAUUUUUAAUUGGGUUGGGGUGACUAAAAAAUUAAUUAAACUUUUUUUUUAUUUUUACAUUGAUUUAUGAUUAAUUGAUCCAUAUAAAUGAUUAAAAGAUUAAAUUACCUUAGGGAUAACAGCGUAAUUUUUUUUUAGAGUUCUUAUUGAAAGAAAAGAUUGCGACCUCGAUGUUGGAUUAAAAUUUAUUUUUGGUGUAGGAGCUAAAAAAUUAGGUCUGUUCGACCUUUAAAAUUUUACAUGAUCUGAGUUUAAACCGGUGUAAGCCAGGUUGGUUUCUAUCUUUAAAAAAAUUAAAUAUUUUAGUACGAAAGGAUCAAAUAUUUUAUUAAUAAUAUAAUUUUUGAAUGAAAUUUUUAUUUUGGCAGAAUAGUGCGAAAGAUUUAGAAUCUUUUUAUGUAAUUUAUUACAAAUAAAAAUUGAAUUAGUUUUAAUUUUAUUAAAUUUAUUAUUAUUAUUUAUUGGGGUUUUAGUAGGGGUAGCAUUUUUAACUUUACUAGAAC